AUGGCAUUUCCUGCCCCCCGCUCCGCCUGUCCGCCCCGCCCCCCGCGCCAGCCCGGCUGCCCCGCGCAGGGACAAGCGUGCCCGGCGGAGCGAGUGCGCGCGUGUCCGCUCGCCCGGGUCCUCGGACCUAGGGGCGCCCCCGCACGCCUGGGCCUCCUCGAGGCCGCGUUUCGGACGCCUGCUGGGAGGAGAGAGGCUUCGGGUGCGGCGGGGGACACAGGGAGGACGCAGGAGGAACCUCCUCGGCCCCCUUGCCGCGCCUACAGGCACCGAGUCCCCGGGGAGGCCGUCUUCCGGGCCUCUGGUGCAGUGGGCGCCGAGGGAGCCCUGCCUUUGAGCCCGCCCCAGUCCCUUCCCACUCGCGUCUCUGCAGCCCUCCGAGGUCGCGGUUCCAGUGGGAGCGGGGGUGUGAAAAGCAAGCGAGGCCUCAGCGCGGGACCGCGUCCUCCUCUGCUUUCUAAUCCGCUGGGCGGCAGGGCGGGAGCCGGAGGGUCCUCUGUUGUCCAGACGCCACUCACUUUGGAGAACGCGGCCCGCUGUCCCCUUCUCUCGUUGGGCCCACCCCGUGGGACGUACGGAGCUCAGUGCAGUCGCCGGGCACCCCGGGGCGGGGUGGGGGGCUGGGGGGCAGGCUCCACCCACCCCGUCCCCACGCGGGGCCCGGGGCGCCUGCGGAUCGGAGGGAGGGGCGCGGGCUGGGGAGCACGCCGGCUCUGCCACGACGUGUUUGUAGAAGUUGUAGAAAGGCAGGAGCAACUUCGAUGGGGCGGACCCGUAGGUACUGGCUGCUCGUGGUCACAGGCGUCACUUGCUUCAGCUCCAGGCGCUGCAAAGCUCAGAGCUGACACUCUGCCCCGCUGGCCUUGCGGAUGGCCCCCGCGGUGCCCCGCCCGCCCGCUGGCCCGGGUGGACGUCUGCACUGUGCCCGGAUGCACUGGGCCUUGCCCGGAACGGACGCUUUCAAGCUGUCCUGGAAGGUCAGGAAUCAAGGAGCAACAAAAAUCGUACAGAUUAGAGUCGGUACAUCCUCCUGAAAAACCAUCAACAAAAGAAAACCAACCCGGUAGCAGGACUUACAGCCUCCUGCUCAAGCCGUGCAAUCAGGCUGAUGAGCUAAAUAAAUGA
rnacentral:lncRNA from 1 species